UGCAGCAGGCGCGAAAACUUUGCAAUGCGGGAAACCGUGACAAGGGAACUCUGAGUGCCCGUUAAAUCGGGCUGUCCAUCGGUUUAAAUAACCGGUGAAGAAAGGGCCGGGCAAGACCGGUGCCAGCCGCCGCGGUAAUACCGGCGGCUCGAGUGGUGGCCACUAUUACUGGGCUUAAAGCGUUCGUAGCUGGUUUGUUAAGUCUCUGGGGAAAUCUUCCGGCUUAACCGGAAGGCGUCUCAGGGAUACUGGCAGACUAGGGACCGGGAGAGGUGAGAGGUACUCCAGGGGUAGGAGUGAAAUCCUGUAAUCCUUGGGGGACCACCUGUGGCGAAGGCGUCUCACCAGAACGGCUCCGACAGUGAGGGACGAAAGCUGGGGGAGCAAACCGGAUUAGAUACCCGGGUAGUCCCAGCUGUAAACGAUGCGCGUUAGGUGUAUCGGUGACCACGAGUCACCGAGGUGCCGAAGAGAAAUCGUGAAACGUGCCGCCUGGGAAGUACGGUCGCAAGGCUGAAACUUAAAGGAAUUGGCGGGGGAGCAC
rnacentral:rRNA from 1 species